GAAUGAAAUGAGGAGCCUUAUUUUAGUUUUGAUUGCUGUCAUGAUGGCAAUUGUUGUAUUAGCUCUAUCUGAUCAUUC